rnacentral:rRNA from 1 species
GACGAACGCUGGCGGCGUGCUUAACACAUGCAAGUCGAACGGACAGGCCCUGCUUUUGUGGGGUUCUCGAGUGGCGAACGGGUGAGUAACACGUGAGUAACCUGCCCUUGACUUUGGGAUAACUUCAGGAAACUGGGGCUAAUACCGGAUAGGAGCUCCUGCUGCGUGGUGGGGGUUGGAAAGUUUCGGCGGUUGGGGAUGGACUCGCGGCUUAUCGGCUUGUUGGUGAGGUAGUGGCUUACCAAGGCUUUGACGGGUAGCCGGCCUGAGAGGGUGACCGGCGACAAGGGGACUAAGAGACGGACCAGAAUGGUAUGGGAGGCAGUAGGGGGGAAUAUGGCACAAUGGGCGGAAGCCUGAGGCAGAAACGCCGCGUGCGGGAUGACGGCCUUCGGGAUGUAAACAGAUUUCGCAUGUGACGAAGAGUGAGUGACGGUAAUGGGUAAAGAAGCACCGGCUAACUACGUG